CGGGCUCUGCCCAUGGGCCGAGCUCCGACACGGGGCGCGCCGGGAGCCGGAAAGCAAAGGCAGAAGUGACUCUGAUUUGAAGCUUGGACAGCCUGGUGAAGCACAGGAGUACUGUUGACAAGGCCUUCCGGCACAGAUCUCCAUUAGCAUUUGGAAUGAUUACGCACCUUGUGUCCUAGGCCCCUGCAGAUGGUGGGCAUGCCCCCGGACACUCAGCGCAUCCGACAUGGUCACCCCGGGCAGCCUCGGCCCACCCCCCAGCGAGCCCACGGACGGCGAGCAGGCUGGGCAGCCCCUCCUGGAUGGAGCUCUGUCCUCAGCCUCCCUGGACACCCUGAUCGAGCACCUGGUGCCCACCGCCGACUACUACCCUGAGAAAGCCUACAUCUUCACCUUCCUGCUGAGCUCUCGCCUCUUCAUUGAGCCCCAGGAGCUCCUGGCCCGGGUCUGCCACUUGUGCAUCAAGCAGCAGCAGCUGGACAAGCCAGUGCUGGACAAGGCCCGGGUCCGGAAGUUUGGCCCCAAACUGCUCCAGCUGUUGGCCGAGUGGACAGAGACGUUUCCGCGGGACUUCCAGGAGGAGUCAACCAUCGGUCACCUGAAGGACGUGGUGGGCCGCAUCGCCCCCUGUGACGAGGCAUACAGAAAGAGGAUGCACCAGCUUCUGCAGGCUCUGCACCAGAAGCUGGCAGCUCUGGGCCAGGGACCGGAACACCUGCUGGGCACCGACAAGCCCGUCUCCUACAGGACCAAGCCUCCAGCCUCCAUCCACAGGGAGCUCCUUGGCAUCUGCAGCGACCCCUACAUGCUGGCUCAGCAGCUGACCCACGUGGAGCUGGAACAGCUGCGGCACAUUGGACCUGAGGAGUUUGUCCAGGCUUUUGUGAACAAGGACCCUCUGGCCAGCACAAAGCCUUGUUUCAGUGACAAGACUAACAACCUGGAAGCUUACGUGAAAUGGUUCAACAGACUGUGUUACCUCGUGGCUACUGAGAUCUGCAUGCCGGCCAAGAAGAAACAGCGGGCCCAGGUGAUCGAGUUCUUCAUCGACGUGGCCCGGGAAUGCUUCAACAUCGGCAACUUCAACUCCUUGAUGGCCAUCAUCUCGGGCAUGAACAUGAGCCCAGUCUCCAGGCUGAAGAAGACUUGGGCCAAAGUGAAGACAGCCAAGUUUUUCAUCCUCGAGCACCAGAUGGACCCAACGGGCAACUUCUGCAACUACAGAGCAGCCCUGCGAGGGGCAGCCCACCGCUCCCUGACUGCCCACAGCAGCCAGGAGAAGAUCGUCAUCCCCUUCUUCAGCCUGCUCAUCAAGGAUAUCUACUUCCUAAAUGAGGGCUGUGCCAACCGCCUCCCCAACGGACAUGUCAACUUUGAGAAAUUCCUGGAGCUGGCCAAGCAAGUAGGAGAGUUCAUCACCUGGAAACAAGUGGAGUGUCCCUUCGAGCAAGACCUCAGCAUCACCCACUACCUGCACACUGCCCCCAUCUUCAGCGAGGACGCCAAACACUGGAAACAACCCAGAUGGCCUUCAGUGGGUGAAUGGUUAAACAAAGUAUGGUAUGGAAUACUAUUCAGCUACAAAAAGGAAUGAACCACACUGAUACACACUACAGCAUGGAUGAAUCUCCAGAGAAUUACAGAGUGAAAAGAGCCAAUCCCAAAAGGUCUUUAUUUGGCUUCUUAUGAAAGUGAGAGCCCAGAGAACCAAACAGAAAAAGAGAGAUGGAAAUCUCUAAGGUCUUCUAUUCUGGGGAAGACAUGAGAGGCACUGAGCUGGAGAAGGAGGAGGAGGGAGAGGAAGAGAGGAAGCCAGCUGUCUUCAGCCCUGCCUGCCCCAGCCAGCCCAGUGGGAGGCAGAGGCAUUGAUGCGUCACUGCUUUGCAAACUGUGAUCCUGUGGCCUGCCACCUGCCACAAUGACCACACGGCCCAGGCGAACUUUCUCCACCUUUUGUGAAACCUCAGCUCUGGAAGGGCCCACAGCCUCCAAACAUAUGAGGGGCACAUGCCUCAGGGGCCCUGCCUUCAGAACAGUGGUGGUCACAUUGCUGGUCAGUCUGUCUGUCCUCGGCAAUGAGCCAAGAGGUUGGGCGGCUGUGAUCUCACCCUCGCCAUGGAGGUAGACACCUACCUGUCUCCAGGUGACCUGGGAGCCUUCAUAUCUCCAGCAGACGUCAUGGUGGCAUGAGAGGGGCCACAGCCCACUUGUGGCCCCUGCCAUUUUACGAAUGGACCCAAUCCUGCCCAGUGAGAUGGGCUGGUUUCUGUAGCCCUGUGUAUACGCUUUCGGCAUCCUGCGGGGAUCAGGACAGCUUCCUGGUGAGAGCUAUGAUGCCGGGCAGCAGGACAAAUUUGAGUCACACACUUGACCACGUGUACAGUACAUUGUAAAUUUUAGAGCUGGUAUAAAUACAUUGGUAUACCCUGUGUAUUCACAUCCACUUCACAUCUGUCACUGGUGACCUUCUGCCAGGAUGCAGGGCAAUGUCCCAGUUCAGGCCCAGGAACACAGUGACCACAGGUCAGGAGGGGGACUUGGGGGCCAGUUCCACACCAGAGACCCCAUAUCCUGCUGAAAUUUGCUGGUGCACAGUAGGUAUUUGGUGAGCUCCAGUGAGCAGAUCCUGACAACCACAUGUGAGGCCAGAUGCCUCGCUUGUCUGGGUGAAUAGUGAUGGAGUCGGAAGGACGCACAACCCGCAGGAGGCCCUCCCGGCGGGCUCUCACUGUGCCCUUCACACACUGAGCCACAUUUCUGGGCCCGGAGCAAAUGGGUCAUGGAGCUGCUGAGCCCCCACCUGGCAUGGGACCAGGUCGUCCAGUCAAGAAGUCAGGGAGUGUGAUGUGCACCCCCAUUCCCAGUUGGCCUGAGUGCAGAGGAUUGUGUUGAAGAUGCAGUGAUGCAUCCUGGCCAGCCCCUGACCACAUCAGGCCUCUCAGAGUCCAGACCCAGCUCAGCUGGGACCAGCCUCAGCUGUCCUGGCAGUGUGGCCUUUGGUCCCACCUGGGGGACAGGCAGAGACAGAACAACCAACACCCCAGAUGCCUCCCCAACUCGAGGCAUUCUGCCUGAUGAACCCAGGACCUCAGCAAGGAUUCUGCAGCCUGACAGAGGUGUGGGAGUGUGCCUGUUCUGCUUGAAUGGAAUCUGCUGUACUCCAGAACAGCCUACCCCUUUCCAUCUGAGACCCCAGAGAGGCUGAGGAGUACAGUGGGUAGCAAAGAUGAUCCGGUUUUCAGUCAAGCCCAGGCUCCCUGCCUGCCUCACACCACAUCUCAGCUCUCCACAGGGGUGGGGAUGGGGUUCUGAGAGUCCCGGGAGCUAACUAGAAGCACUUCCUGACCCCCUCAGGUCUGCCCAGCACACUCCCUUGGUGUCUGGCAUCCCCUGGGGCUGCACUAGACCAGACUCCUGAAGAUGUCAGCAGGGCCCGUGUGUGCCCCAGUCACACCGAGCACGGCCUGUCAGAGGUCGGGACAGGUGCGCAGAGUGGGUUAGUGGCCUGGAGACGCGAUGGUAGGCCCAGGGCUGAGGCCUGGGGAGCUCCGGGAGGCCUCCCCAGGUUGUCUCCUUCCCUCCUCCCCAGCCACAGGGAGGCAGGACAUGCUGGAUGGGGCCCCCAGUUCACCCCCCAGGCCCAGGCCUUGCCAGCCACCUGGCUCCAGCUCCCUAUUCUUGAGCAGCUCAGCUCAGGAGCCUGUGAGGAAACCCCAGAAUACUGAGCUUCAGGAAGCAGCAGGUGAGGUCAAGGAGCUGGGGGCAGCUGACCACAGUGUGUCCUCUGCCUCAUGCCAUCCUUCACCUGGGCCCAGGAUUCCAGCUCUCUCUCCAAGGCCAGACCCCAAAUUUCUCCCCUCAGAGUCCUCUCAUCUCCUACCAGAGGACUGCAGCAGCCUCCUCCAGGCUGUGGGGAGCAUUAACAAAGGAUGUUGGAGGGAUUGGGAUGGGGAACACGUGUAAAUCCAUGGCUGAUUCAUGUCAAUGUAUGGCAAA